rnacentral:rRNA from 1 species
UACGUAGGGUGCAAGCGUUGUUCGGAUUUAUUGGGCGUAAAGCGCGCGUAGGCGGCUUGGUACGUCGACUGUGAAAACCCGCGGCUUAACCGCGGGCUUGCAGUUGAUACGGGCAGGCUAGAGUUCGGUAGGGGAGACUGGAAUUCCUGGUGUAGCGGUGAAAUGCGCAGAUAUCAGGAGGAACACCGGUGGCGAAGGCGGGUCUCUGGGCCGAUACUGACGCUGAGGAGCGAAAGCGUGGGGAGCGAACAGG